CGCGGGGGGCCUCGGGGCUGAGGUCCGCAGGGGUGCCGCGCCCUGGAGUCCGGCUGCCUAGGAGUCCGGGCGUCGCUGCCAGCCGUGGGGGAGGGGCGAGCCUCCCGCCAGGCCCCGCCCCCUCGGCGCCGCGUCCCCACGGCCCCGGCGCCGCCCGCCUGCGCCCGCCUCCUGUGCCCGCCCCCGGUAAUAUCGGAAACAAAAGGAGAGGCUGCAAUCGCAAAUUAUUUAAAAAGAAAAAAAAGGAAAGAAAAGUUGAAUCAAAAUAAGUGAAAAAUCCUCGUUCAAGUGUUCUGGCAUUAAGAUUGACUGUCACACUGAAUUCUGUGCCAAUCCUAACAAAAUGUGUUCUUUUUCUGGUCUUCACAAGUAAGAAUGUCUUAGGUUUUCCAGAAAUAAAGAUGUCCCAAGAGAA
rnacentral:antisense_RNA from 1 species